rnacentral:rRNA from 1 species
AUUGAACGCUGGCGGCAGGCUUAACACAUGCAAGUCGAGCGAGCGGCGGACGGGUGAGUAAUGUCUGGGAAACUGCCUGAUGGAGGGGGAUAACUACUGGAAACGGUAGCUAAUACCGCAUACACUCCGAUGUGCCGAGAUGGGAUUAGCUGGUAGGUGGGGUAAUGGCCCACCAAGGCGACGAUCCCUAGCGGGUCUGAGAGGAUGACCAGCCACACUGGAACUGAGACACGGGCCAGACUCCUACGGGAGGCAGCAGUGGGGAAUAUUGGACAAUGGGCGCAAGCCUGAUGCAGCCAUGCCGCGUGUGUGAAGAAGGCCUUCGGGUUGUAAAGCACUUUCGGCGGGGAGGCGGUACUCGCAGAAGAAGCACCGGCUAACUCCGUGCCAGCAGCCGCGGUAAUUC